AGCGAACGCUGGCGGCAGGCCUAACACAUGCAAGUCGAACGAACCUUUCGGGGUUAGUGGCGGACGGGUGAGUAACACGUGGGAACGUGCCUUUAGGUUCGGAAUAACUCAGGGAAACUUGUGCUAAUACCGAAUGUGCCCUUCGGGGGGAAGAUUUAUCGCCUUUAGAGCGGCCCGCGUCUGAUUAGCUAGUUGGGUGAGGUAAUGGCUCACCAAGGCGACGAUCAGUAGCUGGUCUGAGAGGAUGAUCAGCCACAUUGGGACUGAGACACGGCCCAAACUCCUACGGGAGGCAGCAGUGGGGAAUCUUGCGCAAUGGGCGAAAGCCUGACGCAGCCAUGCCGCGUGAAUGAUGAAGGUCUUAGGAUUGUAAAAUUCUUUCACCGGGGACGAUAAUGACGGUACCCGGAGAAGAAGCCCCGGCUAACUUCGUG
rnacentral:rRNA from 1 species